UACGUAGGGGGCAAGCGUUGUCCGGAAUUAUUGGGCGUAAAGCGCUCGCAGGCGGUCUUUUAAGUCUGAUGUGAAAGCCCACGGCUCAACCGUGGAGGGUCAUUGGAAACUGGAGGACUUGAGUGCAGAAGAGGAGAGUGGAAUUCCACGUGUAGCGGUGAAAUGCGUAGAGAUGUGGAGGAACACCAGUGGCGAAGGCGACUCUCUGGUCUGUAACUGACGCUGAGGAGCGAAAGCGUGGGGAGCGAACAGG
rnacentral:rRNA from 1 species